CAGGAUUAGAUACCCUGGUAGUCCACGCUGUAAACGCUGUCGAUUUGGGGAUUGGGCUUAGAGCUUGGUGCCCGUAGCUAACGUGAUAAAUCGACCGCCUGGGGAGUACGGCCGCAAGGUUAAAACUCAAAUGAAUUGACGGGGGCCCGCACAAGCGGUGGAGCAUGUGGUUUAAUUCGAUGCAACGCGAAGAACCUUACCUACUCUUGACAUCCUAAGAAGAGCUCAGAGAUGAGCUUGUGCCUUCGGGAACUUAGAGACAGGUGCUGCAUGGCUGUCGUCAGCUCGUGUUGUGAAAUGUUGGGUUAAGUCCCGCAACGAGCGCAACCCUUAUCCUUUGUUGCCAGCGACUUGGUCGGGAACUCAAAGGAGACUGCCAGUGAUAAACUGG
rnacentral:rRNA from 1 species